ACCAUUCUACCCUUUGACAGUGUACAGUUCUUUUGUGUGUUGGUCUGCUCCUUUCAUUUUCUUCACUACAUCUCAAACAAACCCUACCUACCUAAUCUCCUCCCAACACAGCCCCCACUCCCUCACUCCCACAUCUCCGGCGACCGGAGUAACUCCGACGCUUGGAUUCUCGACGACACCCACCAGCCGAACACCACCCCCUGUCAGUUGCAGAGCCGACCACCACCAUCGGGUGGUGGUGAGUGACGUUUGGACCGAGAAGUGAGAGAGAUCAGAGAGAGAGAGGAGAGCCAACGUUGUUCGAGCGGCGACAAGGCUGAGAAGAGAGAGAGGCAUAUGGACGAGAGAGAAAGAAGGGCGGCGGCAGCACCGCCGUACACGUCGGUGGUCGGUGGCGGUUCGGAAUAAUUUUCUGGCGACCCGCCAGAGAAGAUGGUUCAAAGAAUUGUUGCAGCUUUUACAAUUGCAAAGGUAAAUUUUAUAUGCUUUUGUAUUGUGUUAUUGAACUUUGCAGACUGCAACCGCCACCGGCCGUUCCAUCUGACGAGGAUCCCUCCAUCUCCUUUGAUUGUUCUUGGUCGGGUCCAAUACCAUACCCCAUCAACAACUUAUUAAAGUUAUGUCUCAAGGCUCUUAAUGAUCGACAUGGUUGUUGCUCUUAAUGAGCUUGAUCGCCAAGAAAAAGUGCAUUUAGCUGUCAAGGUUUAACUUAUCUCUUUUUACUUCAAUGGAUGGUGAUUCAAUUGGCUAUCUAGAGGGUGAAUGAGCUUUUUUCUGGGACAAAUGUGUCGAGCUAGGGCUGAAUCCAAACUUCUGCAUUGAAGAUGUUGGUAAGGAAGAAAGUGGCUCCGCUCAAUUCCUUAUGCACCGGAUGAAAACUGGCUAACAUUGGGGCUUUAAAUACUGCUCAUGGAUUGAACGUCUCAGCGCUCUUUAAGCCUUAAUUUUGGCAGCCCAUCAUAGGCCCAAGAGUGGUAUGAGAAGUCUACUGCCAUAGAUGAUAUGUGAGUGCCAAGUAUGGUCAUGGAGUUAUGAUGUAAAGGAUUAGAUACUAUCAAAACGUUCUUUUGGACUUGCAUUAUAUACCAAGGCAUGUUUGUAAACAUCAUCUUUUUAUUAUUUUGUUAUUUUUUUGUCAAGUUCAUCUGUAUUCUCUGAUUAAUUCGCCAAACUCAUUUGGAUUUUCUGAAAUGAAUACACAUCCAAUCGACUAUUA